AACCUCCGCAAUGUGAGAAAUCGCGACGGGGGGAUCCCAAGUGCCAUUCUUAACGGGAUGGCUUUUCAUUAGUGUAAAGAGCUUUUGGAAUAAGAGCUGGGCAAGACCGGUGCCAGCCGCCGCGGUAACACCGGUAGCUCUAGUGGUAACAAUUUUUAUUGGGCCUAAAGCGUCCGUAGCCGGUUUAAUAAGUCUCUGGUGAAAUCCUGUAGCUUAACUGUGGGAAUUGCUGGAGAUACUAUUAGACUUGAGACCGGGAGAGGUUAGAGGUACUCCCAGGGUAGAGGUGAAAUUCUGUAAUCCUGGGAGGACCGCCUGUUGCGAAGGCGUCUAACUGGAACGGUUCUGACGGUGAGGGACGAAAGUUAGGGGCGCGAACCGGAUUAGAUACCCGGGUAGUCCUAACUGUAAACGAUGCGGACUUGGUGUUGGGUGGCUUUGAGCUGCUCCAGUGCGAAGGGAAGCUGUUAAGUCCGCCGCCUGGGAAGUACGGUCGCAAGACUGAAACUUAAAGGAAUU
rnacentral:rRNA from 1 species